rnacentral:lncRNA from 1 species
UGGAUGCACACACGCUAGGACGAGAUGAAAAUGUACCGACGAAGAUUGCCGCCGUGAGAACUCAAUAAUCCUAACGAAUUUUCGAAUCGGUCACUCAGCAUUUCUCGAGAAUUGGCGGGAGCAAAAUGAGGGGGUUGGAGGGCACAGGGAAAAUCCAUGGAAAAGAAGAAGAGCAACGUAUGAUUUCAUCAAUGGAGAGUUUCGUAUACACGCUAUUAUCAGUUGUUAGGAAAAGGAUCGAGGAAAUACGAAGGAAUAAAAGGUAGUAACGAAGAGAAGCGUGAUAGUGGACUUCUGAAAUAUGCAUCGCGAGUCGUCGGGAUGGAACGAAAAAUACGGUGAAAAUGAAGCCGAGAGAGAGAGAGAGAGAGAGGAGUGAGCGAGAAUCGAAGGGGUUGCAACGCCCUCCGAUUCCUCGAACAAUUCUUCUGUUUGUCUCUCAGUUUCACUCUGUGCUGCUGGUGCUGCUGCAGUAGCAAAUAUCCCUUCUCAGGGCAUAGUUGAGAGCUUUCAACAAGAGAAUCAACGAUAUUUAAUUACCAAUUUUCGUCGAGGUAACAUCGACGCUGCAAAGUUUCUCUCUUGCCUGCCGACCGGAGAAUAAGGACCGGGAUGCUAAUCUGCUGGAUCAUAAAUCUUCUGUCCAGCUACGAAAAAGCGAGAGGAGGAUACGAAUAAUAUGAACACAGAUAUAUGUUAACGCUGGAGAAAAGAGUGAGAAAGAUAGCCAACUCCUAAGAGAGCUUCAAAGCCUCUCGAGUUCGAGACAAUCACCGAGUGCGAAGCGAGCACUCCUUGUUGCUCUCGUCGCUUCCUGUCUGGCAGCCGUCUGGUAGCCUCUGCUGGUAGCAGCUCGAACAUUCUUUAUGAAGACGAACGAUUUAUAAUGUACCAGAAUUUAACACGCUUUUAACUUUUUAUUGUUUUAUAUUGGACGGCCGUUUAGAGUCUUUGUGAACGUUAAAAGAGGAUUGACAGGGCGACAAGCACAGUGGGCGACGGUUUCGUAUUUUUUUAUAUUUUCAUCGCAUAUAGCUGUGCAACGAUUUAUGUUUUUUCAAAUUGAACAAGUUUUCAAUAUUUUUUGCAUUCAAGAAUAUUGCAUUUGGAAAUUCCUCAAUGAAAUACUACGUUGUUACGUUG